rnacentral:lncRNA from 1 species
ACUUUUUAGGGCUGCUCCUGCAGCAUAUGGAAGUUCCCAGGCUAGGGGCUGAAUCAGAAGCUGCAGUGGCCAACCUAGGCCACAGCCACAGCAACACAGGAUCUGAGCCAUGUCUGCAACUUAUACCACAGCUCUGGCAAUGCCGGAUCCUUUAACCCACUGAGUGAGGCCAGGGAUUGAAUCUGCAUCUUCAUGGAUACUAGUGGGAUUCAUUACCGCUGAGCCACAAUGGGAACUCCCAGCUAAGAGGUGUUUUCUCACAGCUCUGGAAGCCAAAAGUCUUAAAGCAAGGGGUUAGCAUGGCUGUGCUCCCUCUAAAGUCUCUGCGGGAGGAUCCUUCCUUGCUCUUCCAGCUUCUAGUGGUCCAGGUGCUCCCUGGUUCAUAGCUGCAUCACUCCAGCCUCUGCCUCCAUCUUCACAGGGCCACCCUAGGCCUGGGAUUAUUCCACAUGCAUUGGAGCUCAAAUGUAGCUCAGUCACCAAAUCCUUCUGCAGGUGAUGCUGAUCCCUUUGCUCUCCUUCCUCAGUCUCCAGAGCUGGACCAGGAACAGCCCCCCUGCUGCCUUUCUGGGCCUCCCAGGUUGCAGCCAGGAAGAUGCUCUGAGGACAAAGUCUAGAGCUGAAGCCUGAAGGAGAGGAAGGACCCUGGACAAGCCACCAAACCAACUCCAACUGCCAUAAGGGGCCACCUCAGCAAGGCCCUUCUAGAACUGGCUGCUGGCAUUCACCUCCACAAAGAGGUAAUCAUUAGAUCUCUGUGUGUAUGCACACACAUGUGUGUUGCAUGGAAUUUGUGGGGAUCUUUGUGCCUAAGCUGACCUGAGCCUAGCUCUCCAUCUCUGGGCUCCAAGACCUCUGCUAGUCACUUCCUCUCUCCAGCUCCCAAUCACCAGCUCAUAAGCAGGAAGAAUGUUAGGAUGAUUCAAUGAUACAAAGGGGAAGGGGGCUUAAGGUUAUAGGAAUAACUGCAUUUUCUCCUUAACUCAGGGCAGAGAUGAAGCCUGGCAGACUGGGGAGUGGGGGUUGUGUCCGAGGCCCCAGAGCACCCCAAAAUCCUACCAGAUAGGCUGAUUGCCCAAGACGGUGGCUGCUGGUUCAUUCAUUCUCUUAUUCACUCAAUAAACAGUUACUGAACCCAUUCCUGAGUCGGGGGCUGUGCAUACAAUUGGGUCACAGAGACAAACAAGGCCUGACCCUGCCUGGAGGAGCCCAUAGCCCAGUGGGGGAGACAGGCGUGUCCAUAGAUCAUGGCUUGGGGUUUGGUGAAGACACAAUGGAAUCUGAAUGAAGGGCAGUGCAUACAGAAAGGAGGUGGCUGGCUCUGGGAGGAAAAGUGGAAAAAGCUUCAGAGAAGAGGAAGACUUGACCCUGAGCUUUGAGGUGGGAGGAACUUACACAGCCCUGGGGUGAAAGGACACUCCCAGCAGAGAGGCAGCUCUCACAGUGUGGGGGCCUGGAGGGCUCUGGAGUAUCAACUGAGUAGAUGGGGAGAAGUUUGGAAAAGCGAGCAAGGGAGGUGAGUUGGGCCAGGAGCAGAAGGGAUCACGUGAGCCUUGCCUGCGAGUGUGGACAGAUGGAAUCAGAGACCCAGCAGAUCGGACUUGUCCACAGUGCUGCCUGCAACCUGCAGCAUCAGCAUCACCAGGACGUGGUGAGAAAUGCAGAUCCUUCAAGUCAUCGUGCUGUGGACCCUAAACUUAUAUGGCACUGCAGGUCCAUUACGGCAACAAAGCUGGAAGAAAAAGAGUCAUUAAUUUAAUUUUUUUUUAAGUGUAAGAAAUACAGAUCCCCAGGACCCACGCUGCACUUACUGAAUGAGAAGUUGUAGCAAUGGUGCCCAGGAACUUAUGUUUUAUCAAACCCUCCAGGUGAUGGGGUGUGAGAAGUACGGGUACCAAACAUAAUAAUUAAUGGCCCCUGUUCACAGAACACCUACUUGGUGGCCCCUGUUCAUAGAGCCCCUACUUGGUGGCAGGAACUAGAGUGAGUCCUUUCCCUACUUAUCUGAUUUAAUCCUCAAGACGAGCUUAUGAGGUGGGUCUGUCAUUAGCCCCACUUUAUGGAACAGGAAACUGGCACUCCUAGAAGUAAUUUAUCUAAGGCCGUGAAGCUACUACGUAGCAAAUCUGGGACUUUUAACUCCGACCGGAAGACUCCUCAUCCCACCCAGAAAAAGGCGGUCUGCCUUAAAAGCUUUUGAUGCCAGGAGAUGGGGAGGAGUAACAGAGAGCCUGAGAUUUUUCUGGGGCUAAACAGAAGGAUCUGUUGACCUUGAGAGGUGUAGGGAGAGAGCAAGAAUAAACAAGAAAGACCCCAAGCUCCCAGGGUGAAAAACUGAGGGAGAGGAGACACCAUUAUCGAGGGCAGGGGCAUCAGAAGGAGACAGGAUGAGGAGGCUUCCCGUUGGGCCUUGCAGAGCAUGAGGGGAACAUCAAAGAUGCAAAAUGUCCCCAUGAGAUCUUAAAACUACCUCUUGGUGGGUGGUAUAACCACAGGUAU